rfam:Brachypodium distachyon strain Bd21 chromosome 1, whole genome shotgun sequence.
AAUGUACUUCCUCCGUCCAACAAAAAAUGUCUCAACUUUGACUAAAUUUGAAUGCAUUUAUACACUAAAUCAUUUCUAGAUACAUUCAAAAUUUGACAAAUUUGAGACAUUUUUUGUUGUACCGGAGUACAUA